AACGAACGCUGGCGGCAGGCCUAACACAUGCAAGUCGAACGCCCCGCAAGGGGAGUGGCAGACGGGUGAGUAACGCGUGGGAACCUACCUUUCGGUGCGGAAUAACUUCGGGAAACCAAAGCUAAUACCGCAUACGCCCUACGGGGGAAAGAUUUAUCGCCGAUAGAUGGGCCCGCGUCGGAUUAGCUAGUUGGUGAGGUAAUGGCUCACCAAGGCUACGAUCCGUAGCUGGUCUGAGAGGAUGAUCAGCCACACUGGGACUGAGACACGGCCCAGACUCCUACGGGAGGCAGCAGUGGGGAAUAUUGGACAAUGGGCGCAAGCCUGAUCCAGCCAUGCCGCGUGAGUGAAGAAGGCCUUAGGGUUGUAAAGCUCUUUUAGUGGGGACGAUAAUGACGGUACCCACAGAACAAGCCCCGGCUAACUUCGUGCCAGCCGCCGCAGUAACAC
rnacentral:rRNA from 1 species